CUGAGUUCAUUAUCAAGCUCCUGCAAUUCCUGGUUCCCCUUGCUGUAUUGGGUUUGGCUUUUGGUAUCCGCAUCUACACAAAAUCAAAUUAAGAUCAUUGAAUCCAUCGUAUGAUAAACAUUUCAGAAUUUAUUACUGCUAUUAGGGCCUGUCCCUUUGUCCUAGUCUAGUCUAGUCUAGUCUAGCAAUUAAAGCUUGUUUCUUUGGUUUCUCAUCAUGUCAACGUUUGGAAUCAUAUAAUCUUGACUGUCCCAGUUAU
rnacentral:misc_RNA from 1 species